ACACUUAGGAUGCUGGCGUAAUGGCUUUAAGUGGCCCGUCUUGGAACACGGACCAAGGAGUCUAACAUGUGUGCGAGUUUUUGGGUGGCAAACCCAUGAGCGUAAUGAAAGUGAAUGCAGGUGGGAUCCGCAAGGAGCACCAUCGACCGGCCCUGAUGUUCUCGGAUGGGUCUGCGUAAGAGCAUAUAUGUUGGGACCCGAAAGAUGGUGAACUAUGCCUGAAUAGGGCGAAGCCAGGGGAAACUCUGGUGGAGGCUCGUAGCGGUUCUGACGUGCAAAUCGAUCGUCGAAUCUGGGCAUGGGGGCGAAAGACUAAUCGAGCCAUCUGGUAGCUGGUUCCUGCCGAAGUUUCCCUCAGGAUAGCA
rnacentral:rRNA from 1 species